rnacentral:rRNA from 1 species
GACGAACGCUGGCGGCGUGCUUAACACAUGCAAGUCGAACGGAAAGGCCCUGCUUUUGUGGGGUGCUCGAGUGGCGAACGGGUGAGUAACACGUGAGUAACCUGCCCUUGACUUUGGGAUAACUUCAGGAAACUGGGGCUAAUACCGGAUAGGAGCUCCUGCUGCAGGGUGGGGGUUGGAAAGUUUCGGCGGUUGGGGCUGGACUCGCGGCUUAUCAGCUUGUUGGUGGGGUAGUGGCUUACCAAGGCUUUGACGGGUAGCCGGCCUGGUAGGGUGACCGGCCCCAUUGGGCCUGAGAUACGGCCCAGACCCCUCCGGGACGCAGCGGUGGGGAAUAUUGCACUAUGGGCGGAAGCCUGAUGCAGCAACGCCGCGUGCGGGAUGACGGCCUUCGGGUUGUAUACCGCUUUCGCCUGUGCCGAAGCGUGAGUGACGGUACUGGGUAAAGAAGCACCGGCUAACUCCGUG